rnacentral:rRNA from 1 species
GACGAACGCUGGCGGCGUGCCUAACACAUGCAAGUCGAACGAAGAAUUCCUCCGGAGGGGAUCAGUGGCGAACGGGGCAGUAACACGUGGGCUACCUGACGCCGGAUCUCGGAUAAACCGAAGAAAAUGGGGCUAAUACCGGACGGGCAAAGCAUUCAGCAUGGGGGGUGGGGAAAAGGGAUACCUACUGGGGUUGGGCGCGCGGCGUAUAAGAUUGUUGGGUGGCUAGUGGGCUACCAAGGCGACGACGGGUAGCCGGCCUGGGAGGGUGACCGGCCACACUGGUACUGAGACACGGCCCAGCCUCCUACCGGAGGCGGCAGUGGGGAGUAUUGCGCUAUGGGCUGAAGCCUGACGCAGCGACGCCGCGUGGGGUAUGACGGCCUUCGGUUUGUAUACCUCUUUCAGCAGGGACGAAGCGCUAGUGACGGUACCUUCAGAAGAAGCCCCGGCCAACUACGUG